CAGUAGCCGCGGUAAUACGUAGGGUGCAAGCGUUAAUCGGGAUUACUGGGCGUAAAGCGUGCGCAGGCGGUUAUAUAGGUCAGAUGUGAAAUCCCCGGGCUCAACCUGGGAACUGCAUUUGAGACUGUAUGGCUAGAGUGUGUCAGAGGGGGGUAGAAUUCCACGUGUAGCAGUGAAAUGCGUAGAUAUGUGGAGGAAUACCGAUGGCGAAGGCAGCCCCCUGGGAUAACACUGACGCUCAUGCACGAAAGCGUGGGGAGCAAACAGGAUUAGAUACCCGCGUAGUCCCUGUCUCUUAUAC
rnacentral:rRNA from 1 species